rfam:Myotis lucifugus cont2.15587, whole genome shotgun sequence.
GAGACACCCCUAUGAAGCAGGACUUGCUUCAGUGGGACUUCGGUGUUCACUGAGUCUGCUCCUUGAGUGUUUUACU